CCCCUUAGAUGUUCUGGGCCGCACACGCGCUACACUGAAGGAGGCAGCGUGUACUCCUGGAUCGAAAGAUUUGGGUAACCCGCGAAUCUCCUUCGUGCUAGGGAUUGAGGUUUGCAAUUAUCCUUCAUGAACGAGGAAUUCCCAGUAAGUGCAAGUCAUAAGCUUGCGCUGACUACGUCCCUGCCCUUUGUACACACCGCCCGUCGCUACUACCGAUUGAAUGAUUUAGUGAGGACUUCGGACUGGGACCGAUGCGGCUUUCGGGCUGCGUCGGUAUUCUGGAAAGAUGUCCAAACUGUAUCAUUUAGAGGAAGUAAAAGUCGUANCA
rnacentral:rRNA from 1 species